AUGUAUAUUGUAUGUGCUGACGAGCCAUGAUAAUACGUGUGAAUAAAACGUCGAGCAUUUGUAUAAGGUGUGAGCUGAUAAUACGUGAUCCUGUUUGUAUAUCACACGAAUGACAGUGUCAUAAGUUGUAUAUAUUACAAUGAUCAUAAUGAUAUGUUGAUUGAGUUUGUAUGAUGUAGAGUUAAUGUUGAUGGCAAUGAUGAUGAUGAUGAUGAUGAUGAUGGAGUUUAGUGGAAAUAAACAAGAGUGCACCGCACAUGACAUACCA